GGUUCAAAUGGCUUCAUCCAGAUUUGAGAAGUCAUUCGAGAGUGUUUGAAACCAAGAUCUCAAUAUGGAUUUCAUGUCUUGGGGAAGCUUCUUCUGACGCUAUAGUCUGAGUUUGACAUCUCUUCUAGGGCCGCAGUUGUGGCGCCUAGGCCACAGGUGGAAACGGAGCUGCAGCUGCCAGCCUACACUACAGCCAUAGCAAUGCCUGAUCCAAGCCUUGUCUGCGACCUAUACCACAGCUCCCGGCAAUGCUGAAUCCUUAACCCACUGAGCGAGUCCAGGGAUCGAACCUGCAUCUUCAUGGAUACUAGUCAGGUUCAUUACCUGCUGAGCUACCAUGGGAACUCCAUAUCUUUCAAGACUCUUCACUCUACAAAUAUUCUUACAAAGACAACCUCAAACAAUAAGCAUACAGUGCCUUGCUUGCAAAUGUUGCAGAAAGAAAAGAUACCCAUAGAGAAUCAUCUCACAACAGGAAACAUCCAAGGAAAAGAAGAAAGUAGAAUGACUUCUAGUUGUGUGGCAUAAGCAACUAGGUGAAGAAAGGAACAGGAGGAACUUCUUCAGUAGGAAUAGGAGGAGAGGCUUUGGUUUCAUGUAUGUUUCAAAGCUGAAAUGGUAAAGAACAUGAUACAUAUGAGUCUUCAGUAUCACAAUCAGAAGUGACAGUGGUUAACCUCGAAGUUCAUACAGAGUUUAGAUUUCUCUUCUCAAUUCUGUAACGAUGAAUCUCCUUAGCCAGUAUAGUCCUUUUGGAAAGAAACUGUGGCCAAAUGAGAACCAAUGACCAGCUUCACUCUCUUGACAUACCUGUCCUUCUGGCCUUCUAAGAAGAAUCAGUGAGGCCAAGAGAAACCAUUGCAUGAGGAGAAUUCGAAGGAAAUACAUAAGUCAAUCUUUGACACUCUUUAUAAGAACUGUAGAUAAUAUCCACAUUUUCUCAGACCAAGGACAGGUGAAGUUGUCUACAGACUGUUAUCACUCACAUACCACCCUCCAGGCUAAAAGAAAGACCACUGAGUUUGUCACAAACAGAGCUAUGAUUUGGGCAACCCUCACCCACCUAUGCCCAGCCCCACUGUAGCACUGGUUUCUCUGAAUUGUAAUACUUUGGUGACAAUUGUUCAUCUCUUUCAACAAACUACAAGUUUCUAAAACCAGGGAGGGUCUUAUUCAUCUUUUUAUUUUUCUUGUGCCUACCUUCAGUCUAAUUAUGUCAUAUAAAUCAGAAAUGAGAUGUCAGUUUAAGUUUAACCUUUGCAUUUAGAAGCUCCUUUGUCCUCUAUACCAUAUAUCUUGGAUACAAUCCAAUAAGUCAGAUUAUCUUCAGGAAUUAGGUAGAAUAGCUCAAGCAGUUUCUACAAGCAAGAUUUAGAAAAUCUCAUUUAACCUACCAUUAGUAUUUUUUUCAUGGAUAAUCCCCUCAUACCAAAAAAUGAAUUGCUGUAAUCCAUAUUGUCUUUCUUAAGGUCAAAAGGCUUUGGCUAUUUCAGUGGAACAAUAAACUGCUUUGUAAAGAGAAUAGUGGCAUAUGUUAGUCUACAGAUUAAGUAUAAAUUUUUAGCUGCUCUGAAUUUUAACAGCCCAAUUAACACGUGUCUUGCUGUUAGCCUUUUUAAAGAUACAAUCUAUUUACAUGUGUUCAUGUUUUGCAGUUGCUAUAGUUUGUCUAAGCCCAAGGAUUAUGUCAUUAAAACCAUUAUAGCAUUAUAAAGUGAUUUUGGUAUUAUGAACAGUCAGUGGCUUUGUAAACCACCAUUGACUUACAGUAGAAAAUCCAAGGUUUAGGGAUUUGCCAUUGAGUGGGAUGCUGAUAGUAAAAAAACAAAGUUGACAGAAGAGGAAGAGAGAACUUUUAAAUACCUGAAUAGAAUGAUUUGGAGCAGGGCUGCAGACAUUCAUUAGGAUUUUCUUAAAUCAAAUGCUUCUUCCCUAAAAACCUCAGCUACUAUAUUAGUUGCUGAGGGUUGCUAUAACAAAUUACCACAAACGAAGGGUUUAAGCAAUGGAAGGUUGUCUCACGUUUCUAGAGCUAGAUGUCCUAGAUCAAGGUGUCAGCUGGGCUGGUUCCUUCUGAGGGUUGUGAGAAAAAAAAAUCUAUCCCAUGUCUCCCUCCUGUCUGGUGGUUUGUCAGGAAUCUCUGGUGUUCCUUUCUUGUCAACACAUGACUCCAAUCUCUGAUAGUCACUUGGAGUUCUCCCUAUGUGUGUAUCUGUCUCCAAAUUUCCCCUUCUUAUAAAGACACCAGUCAUAUUGAAUAAGACUUGCCCUAAUGAACUCAUUUUAACUUGAGUACCUCUUGAAAGACUCUAUUUACAAAUAAAGCCACAUUCUGAGGUCUCAGGGGCUAAGACUUCAAGGAGAGGAAGUAAUUUCAAUGCAUAACUGCUAUAAAUACCCAAAACCCCACCCAACUUUAACAGUCAGACCCUUUUAACGCAUGUGGCUCUGGCUCUCUUCCCCAGAACAACUUACAAUGUCUUUCUUUUCUUUUUUUUUUUUUUUUUUUUUUUUUUUGGCAGUUCCUGUGGCAUGUGGAAGUUCUGGGCCAGGGAUCAAACCCAUGCCACAGCAGCAACCCAAACCACUGCAGUGACAACACUGGAUCCUUAAUCCACUUCACUGCAAGGAACCUCCCCACAAUCUUUUUCAAUGACACAUACUAGCCAAUGAAAAAUAAUUAACACUCCAAUGAACAUGGUUGAUUGGAAAAAAAAUUGUUUCUCAAUUGUAUAUUUCAGAACUUCAGACACAAUUUUUUUUUUAACAUAAGCAGGAAGCAAAAUUCCAACUGAAGGGAGAUCAUAGAUUGAUACAUUACCGCUCUCAACUUCCAUCUAGAAUUUCAAACAUCCUAUAAAAGAUACUGAAUUGUGUUGAAGUGCCUAGGACUGUUCUGAGCAUAUAUAAGAUGCUUAAUAAAUAUCAGUUAACUUUCUUUAAACAUAGCCAUUAUAAAUCCUAGGCUCAAGAAAUAACUUAUGUCUCUAUUGCCUACAAAUCAAACUACUUUCCUUACAAAAUCCCAUCCAUUGGGUCAGAAGGAAAUUCCAUCUUAAUGAGACUCUGAUUUUUUUUUUCCAUAGAUACAUCUUGCUGAACUAUCCCCAUCUCAUCUGUCCAGGGUUAACUCUUUCUCAUUCAAAGGAAAACUUCUCCUUACCACAUUCUUUUACAAGUCACAAUCUCUAACAUCAAAUAUUAUUUGAAAAAUAGAUUUUAUGCCACGGUAUACUUAGAAUGUGACUCCUCAGAAAUUAAAAAACUUGUUCUCCUUUCCUUCAGGACAAAAAGAUUUUAACAUUCAUAUCUCACGAGAAUGUAAAAAAAAAAAAAUUGCAUUUCAAUCUUCUAGUAAAUUAAAAAGAGGAGAGAAGACAAAAGAUUUAUGUUGCUGUAAUAAAAUUCACAUCCAGGCUAGACUAGACUGCAACUCACCUGAAGACAGGAAUUAGACCUGUUGAAUCCACAGCCUCAUGUACAGUGAGCUGAUAAAUGAAUGAAUGAAUAUAAGUAGUUUUUUAUUGAUAUGGACAUAGGAAAACCACCAUGUAUCCUGAUGAAAAACAUGGGAGGAAAGGAAAGAUAUUUUAGUUCAAAGGCUUAGAGUUUGUAGUGAGAAAAACCUACGUUAAAAUUCCAGUUCUUGCUAUUUCGUGCAUUUUGAACCUUGGUUCCUAUAGUUGUAAAAUGGAGAUAAAACCUUUCAGAAUUCAUGUGAAAUUUUGAGAUAAUUUAUCUCAAUUCGUUGUAUAUAAAAGUACUUCACAUAUGGGUAGUUGUGGUAUUUUUUUUUAUUGUUAUUCUUGGCUAUGCCCGCAGCGUGUCGUAGUUUCCAGACUAGGAAUAGAACCCACUCCAUAGCAAAGACCCAAGCCACAGUAGUGACAAUGCAGGAUCCUUAACCCACUGAGCCACCAGGGAACACCCAUCGUAUUUGUUAUUGUGGUUUUGUUGUUGCUGUUGUUUUACAUUCCCAACAAAUUCUAUAGAGCUUGGCACAUGGUUGCUGCUAAAUAAAAGCUUAACUAUG
rnacentral:lncRNA from 1 species